CCCGUCGGUCCCGGAGCAGCCCAGCCCGGCCCAGAAUGAAAAAGGCAGGCAAUGAUCUCCCUCUGAGGCACUUUCAAGCCCUCACAGGUCCUCUGUGGUGCACACAGCCCACCUCCCAGCCAUGCGCUCUCUCCUUCUGGGCACCUUAUGCCUCCUGGCUGUGGCCCUGGCAGCCGAGGUGAAGAAACCUGUAGAGGCCACAGCCCCUGGUACUGCGGAGAAGCUGAGUUCCAAGGCGACCACACUGGCAGAGCGCAGCACAGGCCUGGCCUUCAGCCUGUAUCAGGCAAUGGCCAAAGAUCAGGCGGUGGAGAAUAUCCUCCUGUCACCCUUGGUGGUGGCCUCAUCCCUGGGCCUUGUGUCACUGGGUGGUAAAGCCACCACAGCUUCGCA
rnacentral:lncRNA from 1 species